GACGAGCCACACGAACGUUAUUCGGAAUUACUGGGCUUAAAGGGUGCGCAGGCGGCGUCGCAAGUCAGGCGUGAAAUCCCCGGGCUUAACCUGGGAACUGCACUUGAAACUACGAUGCUGGAGUAUGGCAGAGGGAGGUGGAAUUCCACGUGUAGCGGUGAAAUGCGUAGAGAUGUGGAGGAACACCGAUGGCGAAGGCAGCCCCCUGGGUCAAGAUUGACGCUCAUGCACGAAAGCGUGGGGAGCAAACAGG
rnacentral:rRNA from 1 species